UGUUGACCUCGGAUCAGGUAGGAAUACCCGCUGAACUUAAGCAUAUCAAUAAGCGGAGG
rnacentral:rRNA from 1 species